rnacentral:misc_RNA from 1 species
GAAACGCGAUAUGUUUUGUGAAUUGCAGAAGUGAAUCAUCAAUUUUUGAACGCACAUUGCGCCUUGUGGUAUUCCGCAAGGCAUGUCUGUUUGAGCGUUGUUUCUCUAUGAGGUCGAAAUUCUUCCUUGAAAUAUAAGAGCAAACACGUUUGACAAAAUUAUUCAACCUCAGAUCAGACAGGACUACCCGCUGAACUUAA